rnacentral:lncRNA from 1 species
UUUUUUUUUUUUUAAACAAAUGAUUCUCCAUUUUCUGUAUGCCCUUAAGAUAAUCAUUUCCCAAGUUUAAAUAAAUGCUUUGAAAUAAUUUUUACCAGUUAAACAGUUGUUUUGAUUGUUUUAAUCCAGAAUAAUAACCAAAUAUGAAAAAUACAGCACAAAAUCAUGUACUUUUUUCAGGUGCAUCUGGUCACCAAGUUAAAAAUUUAUAGCAAUGAUAUAUAAACAAAAUAUCCUCUCUCACUGUACAUAAGUAUACCAAAAUUAAUGAACAAGAACAAAAAACAAAACCCUCCUACAACAUAGGGCUAAAAAAGCUAAUCAAUAGUCAGGAGAUAGGAAGUUAAAUAAAACAAUUCAUGUUAUUUCCUCUCCUCCAUAUAUAAAUUCUAAAAGGAAUCAUCAUGCAUGGUGUAGCAAAAAAAUAACAAAAUGAUGUGACAUACUCUUCUGUAAAUAAAAAAAACACUGUUCUUUGCAUUUAUCAUCCCUAUUUAUGAAAGAGCAAGUUUCUGGCCCAGAGCUAAAGAGGAAAUAAAGCUGGAGAUUAGAAUUCUAAUUUGUGUCACCUAUAAGUUCCUUCCUUCAGCAUUCAGGAACUAAUCUACCUAGACUGGUUGGUUCAUAGCCAGAGGUGAUUCUGACAUAUUAGAAUCUACUGUGAGCUUCUUAAAAGUAUUCAUGCCUAGAACAUAACUCCCAGACCUUUUGAUUCUGUAGCUCUCAGGUAGGGAGUUGUCAUUAUGUUUUUUAAAAGCUCUCUCUGUAAUAAGGAGCUGAAAAAAACCCAUCAGUAUCAUAUUUUAAAAAUUAUUACAUAUUUGGGGAGUUCCUGGCAUGGCACAGUGGAAACAAAUCCAACUAGGAAUCAUGAGGUUGCGGAUUCAGUCUUUGGCCUCGUUCAGUGGGUUAAGGAUCUGGUGUUGCCGUGAGCUGUGGUUGUACGUCGCAGAAGCGGCUCAGAUCUGGCGUUGCUGUGGCUGUGGUGUAGGCCAAUGCCACAGCAACACUAGAUCCGAGCCACAUCUGUGACCUACACCACAGCUUAUGGCAAUGCCGGAUCCUUAACCCACACUGAGCAAGGCCAGGGAUCGAACCCGCAAUCUCAUGGUUCCUAGUCGGAUUUGUUAACCACUGCGCCAUGACAGGAACUCCUACAAUUCUGUUGUUUAUUCAUAUAGUUCCCACAUAUUUAUUAUUUUAUAUUUUUACUGUCAUUAUGAAAAGAAUGUUUCCUUUAUUUUUUAACUGCUAGCACUGGCAAAAUAGUGAGGGAAGAAGGGAGGGAGGGAAAGGGAGAGAGGAGAAACUUAAAGCUUAAUUCUAUAUACAGCUUUCAAGGGAAAAUAUAGGUCAUCUAUCUUCAGCCGCUGUGUUCUCUUGGUUGUCUCACUAGUUUGUGUCAAUUUUCCAACAUUCUUUUAAGGAAAUUUCUUUUAAGGCAGCUGUGAGUGUGGUAGGGAGAGGUAGAGGAAAAGGGAGCUGCAGCAAGUCAUCAACACUUUGUGGUCUAAUGACCCAUCACCCAAAAUAGUAAAAAAGAUAUAAUACUGAAUGGGUCGCAAUUAACAGAAAAGACCGCAAAUUCUUUAUUAAACUUUUGGUUAUUUCAAACUACAUAAUCCAUACAAUAUAUUCAUUUAUCGUUUUUUACUAUUUUUUUGAGAAUGACAAAGUAACAGCCAAAAGAUGUUCUCAGAUAAAUUUCUAAAUUUUCUCUACAAGUAUUGUUUCUCUGUACUGCUAGAAAUGCUAAAAUGAAAUUCUUCAGGCUGAAGGGAAAUGACACAACAAAACACUAAAAGAAAUUAAAGAUGAUGUGAAUAAAGAUGAGAUAAACCAUGAUCACAAACUGGAAAACUCCACAUUGUUAAUUUGGCAAUUCUCUCCAAAUUAUCUACAGAUGCAAAGUAAUCCUAAUCAAAAUUAUAAAGGGCUUUUUGAAGAACAAAAAAGUUAAUUUUAGAAUUUAUAUAGAAAAGUCAAGGACCUAGAUUAAUAAAGCAAUUCUGAAAAAGAAAAAACAAAGAGUAUUCAUACUACUUGAUUUCAAGACACAAAGAUAAAACAAUCAAGACACAGGUAUUAGUGUAAGGACAGACAUAUAGUUCAAUGUCACAGGACAGAGUUCAGAAAUACACUUAUAUGUGUUUGGUGGAGGGAGUGUCUUUACAUCAAAUGGUGCUGGAACUUGAUUAUUUUACAGUAUAUAAUAAACCUCAACACUUAACUCACAUACCAUAUACAAAAAUUAACUAGAAAUAGACCAUAAGCCAAAAUGUUGAGUCAAUAUCACUAAACUUCUAGAAGAAAAUAAAUUUUUUUGUGUGUUUGACACUGGAUUAGGACAAGAUUUUUUGAAUAGGACAUAAAAACAUGAAUUUUAAGAGAAAAAACUGGUAAGAGAUUUUAUAUAGAAUAUAGAAAGAAGUAUUACAACUUAGUUUCUUUAAAUAGCAAAAAUUUGAUACAGUGUUUCACAUAGCUCUGUACAGAGAAAGUUGCUCAAUAUCACUAGUCAUCAGGGAAAAUGAAAAUUAAAAUCACAAUGGGAUAUCACUACAGACCCACUAGAAUGACUAAAAUUAAAAAGACCAACAAUAUCCAAUGUUGGCAAAAUGUGGAACAUUGGAACUCCCAUAUACUGCUAACGGAAAUGCAAAAUAGUUCAGUCACUUUGGUGAAACGUGACAGUAUUUUAUAAGGUUAAAUAUGCAAUUAAAAUACUACUGAGUAAUUCCAAUUCUAGGCAUUUAUCCCAGAGAAAUGAAAAUAUAUGCCCAAAGACUUAGAUGUGAAUAAGCCUAACAGCCAACAUUUGGAAACAAUUCAAAGUCUAUAAAAAAAGAAAAAUAAAUGGAUAAACAAAUAGUGCAAUAUUCAUGCUCUAGAGACCUAUUCAGCAAUAAAAGGAAAAGUCACAUACAACAUCAAGAAUGAAUAUUAAAAAUUAUGCUAAGUGGGGAGUUCCCGCCAUGGCUCAGAGGAAACAAAUCUGACUAGUAUCCAUGAGGAUGCAGGUUCGAUCCCUGGCCUGGCUCAGCUGGGUUAAGGAUCCGGCACUGCUGUGAGCUGUGGUACAGGUUGCAAACGCGGCUUGGAUCUGGUGUUGCUGUUGCCAUAGGCCAGUAGCUACAACUCCCAUUCGACUCCUAGCCUGGGAACCCCAUAUGCCACGGCUGCAGCCCUAAAAAGCCAAAAAAAAAAAAGCUAGGUGAAAGCAGUCACAAACAGAAGACUAUAUACCUAAUGAGUCCUAUAACAUAAAAUUCUAGAAAAGAUAAAACUACAGUGAUUGCCUGGGUUUGUAGAUACAAUGCAGGGACUGACUAAAAAGGAGCACAAGAAAACUUUUACAGGUGAGGGAACUGUCCUAUAUCUUGACUGUGCUGGCUGUUAUCAACUGCACACAUUUUCCAAAAUCUAUUAAUCUGUACUCUAAAAUGGAUGUAUUUUAUUGUGUAAGUAUUACCUCAAUAAAAAUCAUUACAAACAGAUUCAGGGUUUUAAAGACGCUAGAUACUGAAUGUAGUAGCACUGAAUUCUGACUCUUGAACUAGUCACUUGAAAUCAAAGAAAUGAUCUCUUACAUUUUCAGAGUCACAAAGAAAUGUGACACAUUUUCAAAAACUCAUGUGACUUUCUUUCUCCUCAAGCAAGCAACUUUUAGGUUAAAAAACAGUAUCAUUUACUUGCCAUCCACUUCUUUGCACAGUAUACUGAACCAAUGCCAGUGGCCAUGAAUUUUGAUCUUUUUUUCAUUGACAUUUAAUGAAGGUAAAUAGGCUGAUUAUUGCCCAACAUUUGGUCUUUGUUACUGAAGCUGUAAGUAGACUGGACCAAAAAAGGGGGUUUUUAUAUUAACAAUUCCUCACCAAAGGAAUCAGAUUCCUCCUCGAAAAAUGGAAUCCAGUAUUGGAACACAGAAAAGACAAAAUAAACCUAGAAUACUCUGUACCAGAAAGUAAGACAGGGCUCAAAAAAUGAUGAGGACAUGUCAAAAGGACAUAGGAGGGGUUCCCACUAGCUAAAUAUGGGGCACUAUAUGAUAACCUAUUGACUAGAAUAAGAAUCUCGAUUCCCAAUUGAUAGAGAAAAAAGAAAGCUCUUUCUCAACAGGGUAAAGUCAACUAAAAAAUACCGAAGAAAUGAUGGAGUUAGAUCACUGUUUUCAAAUCAUGAGAGAAAUGACUUAUUCUAGCAAUAAAUUAUCAUCAAUAUUAAAACUGAAAUGAUGAAAGUUUGAUAAAGAAAAUACAUUUAUCAUGAUCUCAAAGUAUCUGUCUAUAAAUUACUUAAUAAUCACAAGGAGAAAAAUAGUAAUAUUUCAGUGGAGAAACCUAGUGGGCAUCAACCUUGCCAAAGUCAACAUCACCUACUAAAGUGACACUGUGUGCAUUUCAUGAUGUGAUGCACUGGCAAGGACAUAUUGCUUAUUUAAUAUUCCCAUAAAAGAUAAUGACUUGAAUUUAACCAUGAAGAAACAAUUAGAAAACCUAAAUCGAGAGACAUUCUACAAAAUGAAUGACCUGUACUCUUCAAAAAAUAUCAACAUCAUUAAAAAUAAAAGGCUGGAACCAUUCUAGAUCAAAGGAGACUAAAGAGUAGUGAAAAUCAAAUUCAGUGAGUGAUCUUAAAUUGGAUUUUGGAUUAAAUGAGGGGGUAAAAAACUAUAUUCACUGGAACAAUUGGAAAAUUUUAAAUGAAAUUCAAAGAUUAGAUAAUAUAUCAAAAUUAACUUUACUGAUUUUUGGUAAUGUACUGUGUAGUUAAGCAAGUGAAUAUACUUAUUCUUAGGAAAUAGGAAAUAAACACAAAAUACUUAGGAGUAAAGAGUUACGAGGGGUAGGAUGUCUGUAACUUACCUCACACGGUUCAGAAAAACUGUAUGUAGUGUUAUAUGUAAUAUCUAUGAGAAAUAAUGAGAAUGAAUUAAGGCAAAUGUGGCAAAAUGUUAAAUGAUGAGUCUAGGUGAACUGCACAUAGAAGUUUCUGUGCUAUUUUUUAAACUUUUUUAUAAAGAUAAAAUGAUUUGAAAGUAAAAAGUUUAAAAAGGUAAGGGUGGACGAAUGCUGAACCCUACUUUUCUUCCACAAGUCAAAUAUCCCUUUCCUCUUCCAUAUAAUCCCAGCUGUCUUGCCAUUAAAUUAUACUUGCUUGUGUUGCUGCUUUGGUGCACAGUUAGAGGAAGAAAAACAAAUAAUAUUAAGAAGGAUGUGGAACGUAACAUCUUUCAGCAUUCUCUUAGUCUCAACAAUCUGAUAAAGAUACUCAAAACAGAAUAAAAACUUUUCCUGUCAAGGUCCAGAUAGCAACUAUUUUAGGCUUUGCAGGCUACAUACAGUCCUAUAACAUUUCUCCUUUUCCCCCCAAUCACCUCUUUAUGCUUGUAGGCAUUACAAAAAUAGACUGUGGGCUGGAUUUGGAGACAGGUCAUAGUUUGCUGACCCCUGACAGAAUUAUUAAAUUUCUCUAAGAACUACAAGUAUCUCUAUUGGUCCCCGAAAAUAGCAAGGACAUUACUGAAUAAAUAAAGCAGCAAAAAUUUUAUCAGCGUGGUAGUCAGUUCUUAGGGCAGUAAACAGUUAAUAAAGUUAAACUUUAAACAAACAAACAAAAGAAGAACAUUUCUUAAAGUUUCUUCUGUAACUCUAAAGUUGUCACAUUUGGGUUUGGGGUUUUUUUGAGGGGUAAGAAUGGGGCAAGGGGGUCACUUACAUAAAGUUGCUGAUUUUCUUUUUGAGACAGAGCACCUCAGGAAAGAGAACGAAGAAAAAACAAGUUCCACUUGGGAAAAGUAAGACGGCCUAGAUUUUAGAACUGCGAUAUAAAACUGAAGGGGUGACAUUUUAGAGCCGUUCCUGUCUUAAUUCAUAUCAUUCCCACUCCGUACCCGGAUUCUCCAAAUUUAAAUGGUAUUUUUAAAAAAUAGUAUAGAAAAUCUAGGAAUUAGAAGUAUAUGCCUACACAUAGGCUUUGUAAUAAUUAUGUGAGCAAGGCCUACCCAAGUAGAACAUGGGCCUUUGGUAACAGCCAUGGGCCUUUAGCUAUCGAUGGCUUACUGACAUUUCAAGCAAUGAACUAAAAAGAGCUGACAAGACGCAAUGCAUUGAUUUAAAUGCCACUCUCCUAGGUCUUAUUAUUUUAAAUGCCAGCAAGUCUUAGGGAAAAUGGAUCCACCAUUUUAAAUGUUUAUACUCUCUAAGAUCAGUCAUCUAAAAAGAAACCUUCUUACUUCAGGUAAGUUACUGCUUUUUACAUUAACCAAAUACGCAUUGUUGUGCUUACAAUGCUUACUGUAUGUCAUUAUGUUACCUUCAAUUUUGUCAAGCAGGUUAAAGAAUUGGAAAACAAAGUUUGAAACCUGAAUACCUAUCAAGGGUUAAAGUAUUAGAGAUAUACAACAAACUUAACUAUGAAUGACUCCUGUCAGUGUAUCUAAUUGUUGUUACUGUACAUGGAAAUUAAGCUUAAAGUACAAGUGGCAAAUGACUAUUAUUACCAUAUAUGUAACUCACCAGUAUUUAUAAUCAGAAUUUCUUGCCAUAAUUUUUCUUCUAUGACACUCGUAUAGUUAUUAAAACAUUGAAAGACAAAUGUAAGCCAUCCCAGUCAAUACCAAGGGUUUCUUAUAUCCUUCCACUAGUUGGAAAAGUUUAUACUAUCCCAAUUCUCAGCCACAAUCCAGGCUCAAUUAAAAGACUUACUGAAUUUUUCUUUUGUGUGCAUAUGCAUGUCUUUUGUCUUUUUAGGGCCGCACCUGAGACAUAUGGAGGUUCCCAGGCUAGGGAUCUAAUUGGAGCUGUUGCUGCCGGCCUACAUCAGAACCACAGCAACACCAGAUUCAAGCCACGUUUGCGACCUACACCACAGCUUGGGGCAACGCCAGAUCCUUAACCUACUGAGCAAGGCCAGGCAUUGAAUCCGCAACCUACAUGGUUCCUAGUCAGAUUCGUUUCCGCUGCGCCAAGACGGGAACUCCAAGACUUACUGAAUUUCUAAUCUGCUCUCAGUAAUGACUAUGGAUUUCUCCAGAUACUCAAGAUCACUAUAAACACUUGAAGAGCCAAUUGCACACUGGAGGUAAUAGUAUUACAAAGUCAGCUGCUGAGGGUAAUCUUGCCUUUUUCUAAACCCCUGUAGUGAUUUACAUAUGCUGCUCUGACAGCACUACUUUUAUAACCUGUACCAUAUUUAUUUAUGUAUAAAUAUUUCUUACCUCUUCCACUAGACAACAAAUUUCUUGAAAAUAGCAUCAGUAGCUAAAACUUUUUAAAUAUUUACAGUACCUUUAUUUCAACUGCAGUGGCCGGUACUUUCUGACAUAAUAAGGGUGAAAUAAAUAGUUCAUUUUAAAUUUAGCAAUGAGGAACUUGGAGUUCCUGUCAUGGCUCAGCGGUUAAUGAAUCCGACUAGGAACCAU